UCAGAAGUGACAUAAUUUAAUUUUCUUCAUCGACAAAAUAUUUCAUGUCCAACGUGUAAGUUUUCAUUGUUGAAGUCGAAGUUUUUUUUAACAUCGUCAAACAUUUUUUAUAAUCAACCUCUGUCAUUGGCAUUUUCAUUUUAACGGUAAAGGAUCAAAUACGGGAUCUCCGAAAUUUCUAUCAUUUGUUACGAGGAAAUCAUUAUUCAAUCGAACAUUAUGUCUUUGUUCAUGACACAUAUUAUGAAAUACAAAGGAGUUGAUGUUUUAAGGAACUGUAGAGGUCUCCACAGGUUUUCAACAAGGGUAGAAUUCAAAACCUUGAAUAUGAAAGCCUCGAAAUCCAUGAUACUUUUUCUGUGCGGUAGUUAUAUCUACAAAUUCCACUCAUGUACACGACAUAAAAUACAUGUAUAUUCAUACAUGUAUAUUUAUAUAUUGGGAAUUUAUUUUUGUUUCCAAACAGAAUUAUAAGGUUAUGUAUAAGUGCCUCCGUUCACUCCACAAUUGUAAAUUGUCUUCCUAAAGACCAGCAAAAAUAAAUGGCACAAGUUCACGUAGUCAUAAAAAAGUCGUAUAAUUUACGUUAUCGAACAAAAACUCAGAAAUACGAAAUAUUAUAUGUGAAUGGUUAGGAAAUCCGUUUCCCCUACAGGUUUUAAAAGUCAAAGAAAAAUGUUUUCCCUGAUACAAACGUUUUAAGAACCAGCUUUGUGUAACCUAUAGACAAAUUCGACUGGAUAUAAGGAAGUUAAUAUGUUUACUCUGAUUUGAAAUUAUCUUUUAGAAUUUUUUUUAGUAAUUGAGAACCUAUGUUGUUUAUGGGUAAUAGAUGAAAUGUUGCAAGAUACCUCAAAAUGACAGCAAGCGCAGUUUUCCGGACGAUUUUCAUUUGUACACUGCAAAAAACUGUCAGGUCCUGGCCAUGAUAUAUUUUGG
rnacentral:lncRNA from 1 species